GCAUAUAUAAGUUCUCUUGCCAGUAAUGAUAGGACUUGUAUUACUCGUUAAAUUCUGCCUGGAACAUAUAUAAAUAAAAUUUGCUGUUAGCUUUAGACCUAUAUUCCUAAAUCCAUUUGAAUGGAUUUACCCAUUUAUUCCUUACAUUAAAGAAUCUUGGAGAAUAUUGUGCAAAGAAUGGCCAGAUGGGAUUAACAAAGGGAGGUUUUCCCUGAGAAAGAAAAAGGUAAGAAUUAUCCAAUGUUAACUUUACAAAGUCUGUAAAUCUAUUCUGAAUAGCUUUUUUUCCUCGAAAAAUUUUAGUUGAUGAGGAAUCUGGAUUAAAGGAUUCAGAACCAGAGCGAAAACGCAAGAAGACUGAAGACUCUUCUUCAGGCAAAUCAGUGGCGUCUGAUGUCCCUGAGGAAUUAGACUUUCUUGUACCUAAGGCUGGAUUCUUCUGUCCAAUUUGUUCCCUCUUCUACUCAGGUGAAAAAGCAAUGACAAAUCACUGCAAGAGUACACGUCAUAAGCAAAAUACUGAGAAAUUCAUGGCCAAGCAAAGAAAGGAAAAGGAGCAGAAUGAGGCUGAAGAAAGAAGCUCUAGGUGAUUGGGGGAAAGGAAAGAAUUCACUAGAAAUUUGUUUAGGGUCCAGUUGAUUUGUGUAUUUUUGUUAUCAUUUAAUUUGUAAUUUUCGUUUCAGAAGCAAAUAUUCGUGUUGUACAAAUUUCUGAUUGCCCUAAAUGUAGAGAGACUGAUGGGGAAAGUAUGAUGGGUUUGAUUUUUAUAUCAAAUCAUCAGGCAUGGAGAAAUAUCUUUUAGAAGUGUUAAAAUAAAUGUUCCUACUGUAUAUUUAAAAUA
rnacentral:sRNA from 1 species